UACGGAGGGUGCAAGCGUUAUCCGGAUUCACUGGGUUUAAAGGGUGCGUAGGUGGGCUGGUAAGUCAGUGGUGAAAUCUCCAGGCUUAACUUGGAAACUGCCAUUGAUACUAUCAGUCUUGAAUACCGUGGAGGUCAGCGGAAUAUGUCAUGUAGCGGUGAAAUGCUUAGAUAUGACAUAGAACACCAAUUGCGAAGGCAGCUGGCUACACGAAUAUUGACACUGAUGCACGAAAGCGUGGGGAUC
rnacentral:rRNA from 1 species